rnacentral:rRNA from 1 species
GACGAACGCUGGCGGCGUGCCUAAUACAUGCAAGUUGAGCGCUGAAGGUUGGUACUUGUACCAACUGGAUGAGCAGCGAACGGGUGAGUAACGCGUGGGGAAUCUGCCUUUGAGCGGGGGACAACAUUUGGAAACGAAUGCUAAUACCGCAUAAAAACUUUAAACACAAGUUUUAAGUUUGAAAGAUGCAAUUGCAUCACUCAAAGAUGAUCCCGCGUUGUAUUAGCUAGUUGGUGAGGUAAAGGCUCACCAAGGCAAUGAUACAUAGCCGACCUGAGAGGGUGAUCGGCCACAUUGGGACUGAGACACGGCCCAAACUCCUACGGGAGGCAGCAGUAGGGAAUCUUCGGCAAAGGACGAAAGUCUGACCGAGCAACGCCGCGUGAGUGAAGAAGGUUUUCGGAUCGUAAAACUCUGUUGGUAGAGAAGAACGUUGGUGAGAGUGGAAAGCUCAUCAAGGGACGGUAACUACCCAGAAAGGAACGGCUAACUACGU